rnacentral:tRNA from 1 species
GGUGCAAAAUAGCUCAGUGGUAGAGUGUUUGCCUAUCAUGCAUAAAAUCCUAGGUUUGGUUCCCAGCACCA